ensembl:lncRNA
CUGGUUGCAGUCUCCUUGGGGUUCCUGUGUUCUGGGGCAGCGCCUGGAUCUCUGGGACUUGGAGCUCCCCCCGUCUCCUGCGCAUCUUUGGGGGGCGGAUCUGUGGUCCCUCACACUCUCUGUUGGACGCUCCUAUAGAGAAACCUUACAUAAACAAGCGCGUGUACACACACAGGUGCUCACAUGGUGCUCUCAAAAGUAUGGGCUUGGGCGCGUUAAACACAGGUCUUAAGACUAUGGUGGGCACUUAAUGCACUGUGAUUUAUUAUCGUGAUUCUUCAGUUAAACAAUGUUGAUUAUAUAUUUCUUCAUCAAUUUGACGCUGUGAUAGCUUGAUCUGGUUGUAUUGUUGUUAUGUCCCAUUUUUUUUGUUCUUUUGCUUUUUUUGUCUUUUUCUGCAGGUCUAGAAGCAGACUCUUGUUCAUUAUUGUUUAUUUUUGUGGACCCCCCCACCCCCCACCUUUUGUCUUUUCCUUUCUCUUUCACCUCUGUCUCUGUGUCUGGUUGGAAUUACAAAGCAUUCAAAAACAAUAACAAUAAAGUUUUAAGUAUCAGGCGUGACGUUAAAAGCAGACGCUUUGAUGCUCCACCUGAGAGUAAAUCUGCUUGUCACCAGCAUUCAGACAUCAAUUCUGUUUGCUUCACAGCCAGACAGGACACGAAAAAAAAAAAACAAGCAGUACUACUGGUGAUUUUUGUAACCAAGAAAUCUCAGCUCCAGAUCUUUUCAUUCAUUCAACCAACAUGUUGUUUUCUGUGAAAAUGUAUUUAUUUUUAAAUCAGCAAUGAGAGAAGAAACAUAUCAAUGUUUAACUGUUUUAAACAAAACCAAUUGUCUGCAUGAAUAAUAUGAAAAACAUCCACCAGAGUGUAAUAAAUAGUUAAUAAAACUAAUGCAUAAAUAGCAAACACACCUGCAUGCUUAGUGUGCUUCAUGUUAAUCCGAAAAAAGGGAUGUUAGAGCAAACUAUUUACCAUUUCAAAGUAACUAUAGCUCUUCAAAAUGUUAGAAUUACUUUUCUCUUUGAACUAUUGUGUCAUAAAUUACUGAAAUCAAAUAUUUUGCAGUACAGCUUAAUCAGAACAUAUUUUUUAUGAGAAGUUUGAAAUUAUUUACUAGUUUGCUUACAUACAGGACUGAAUAUUAAGAAAUUGUGAGGAAUAAACAUCCUAACUGAUAUACAUGUACGUAACUCUCCAAAUAACUUCUAACUGGGGAGACAUGUUGUCAAGAUUUUUUUUCUCAAAUCAUUCAUACUGUCAUUGUCAUGGUGGGUGUCUGGAGCCCUAAUCGGGUUGGUUGCCCUGGUCCAAAAAGGAAGAAGUGAGAGAACUUUGGGAUGUCUUCUAACCCAACUGUGACUAACUGGAGACAAUAAUGUGAACCUCAAAUUCCAGGUGUAACUAAAACGUGAAUGAAAUUAAAAUGACUUACUAAGACUUGAGGCAUAAUCCAAUUCAUUGUUUUUUUUUAACAAGUUGUUAAGAAUAGCUCAGUUAGCUUUGGGUUCAACAAUUCCUUGACUAUCUUUCCCAAGUUGUACCAGUUGAAAGGUUUUAAAGGUGUGGAACUCUGAAAAAAACAUUUUUGAUAAUAUUUCUAAUAAUAACCAGUCAUACUGAGUUUUUCAUGCAGGCUGAGGAUGAAAGUUAUCUCCUACACACGUCUUGUGCAUUAGCUUCUGACAGUGAAGGAUUUGAAAAUCCUGACAGAUCUACGUCACAGUGUUACGUAACAUUCAUGGACUCAACCAUCUUGACUCACGGCAAGGAAGGCUGUUGUUGGCUUAACGUCCAGGAAACAGCAGAAAACAUCUCGGCUAGUAGAAGCUAACUGUAAACAUUAGCAUCCCCACCACACAGCAGAACUCCUUCAGGCUUGCGUUAUUUGUGGAGAUAAAACAUCAACGUUGCAAAGCAAAUGUAGAGUCUAAUUGCU